UACGUAGGGUGCGAGCGUUGUCCGGAAUUAUUGGGCGUAAAGAGCUUGUAGGCGGUUUGUCGCGUCUGCCGUGAAAUUUCGAGGCUCAACCUCGAACUUGCGGUGGGUACGGGCAGACUAGAGUGUGGUAGGGGAGACUGGAAUCUGGUGUAGCGGUGAAAUGCGCAGAUAUCAGGAGGAACACCGAUGGCGAAGGCAGG
rnacentral:rRNA from 1 species